rnacentral:rRNA from 1 species
AGAGUUUGAUUCUGGCUCAGGAUGAACGCUGGCGGCGUGCUUAAACACAUGCAAGUCGAACGAGGUCCAACCUUCGGGUGAAGACCGAGUGGCGAACGGGUGAGUAACACGUGGGGAACCUGCCCUUCUCUCUGGGAUAACCUCGGGAAACCGAAGCUAAUACCGGAUACUCCUUGCGGACCGCAUGGUCUGCUCGGGAAAGCUCCGGCGGAGAAGGAUGGCCCCGCGGCCCAUUAGCUUGUUGGUGGGGUAACGGCCCACCAAGGCGACGAUGGGUAGCCGAGCUGAGAGGCUGAUCGGCCACACUGGGACUGAGACACGGCCCAGACUCCUACGGGAGGCAGCAGUGGGGAAUCUUGCGCAAUGGGCGAAAGCCUGACGCAGCAACGCCGCGUGCGGGAUGAAGGCUCUCGGGUCGUAAACCGCUUUCAGCAGGGAUGAAAAUGACAGUACCUGCAGAAGAAGCCCCGGCUAAAUACGUGCCAGCAGCCGCGGUAAUACGUAUGGGGCAAGCGUUAUCCGGAUUCAUUGGGCGUAAAGCGCGCGUAGGCGGCUUGUUAAGUCAGGCGUGAAAUCCGGGGGCUCAACCCGCGGCUUGCGUCUGAAACUGGCAGGCUUGAGUCUGGUAGAGGAAAGUGGAAUUCCUGGUGUAGCGGUGAAAUGCGCAGAUAUCAGGAGGAACACCAGUGGCGAAGGCGGCUUUCUGGGCCACGACUGACGCUGAGGCGCGAAAGCUAGGGGAGCGAACAGGAUUAGAUACCCUGGUAGUC